rnacentral:rRNA from 1 species
GCUGGCGGCAUGCUUUACACAUGCAAGUCGAACGGCAGCACGGGUGCUUGCACCUGGUGGCGAGUGGCGGACGGGUGAGUAAUGCAUCGGAACGUGUCCUAAAGUGGGGGAUAACGCAUCGAAAGAUGUGCUAAUACCGCAUAUUCUCUGAGGAGGAAAGUAGGGGAUCGAAAGACCUUAUGCUUUUGGAGCGGCCGAUGUCUGAUUAGCUAGUUGGUAGGGUAAUGGCUUACCAAGGCGACGAUCAGUAGUUGGUCUGAGAGGACGACCAGCCACACUGGGACUGAGACACGGCCCCAGACUCCUACGGGAGGCAGCAGUGGGGAAUUUUGGACAAUGGGCGCAAGCCUGACGCAGCGACGCCGCGUGGGGGAUGAAGGUCUUCGGAUUGUAAACCCCUUUCGGGAGGGUAAGAUGGAGCGAGCAAUCGUUCGGACGGUACCUCCAGAAGCAGCCACGGCCAACUUCGUGCCAGCAGCCGCGGUAAUACGAAGGUGGCAAGCGUU